rnacentral:rRNA from 1 species
AACGAACGCUGGCGGCGCGCCUAAUACAUGCAAGUCGAGCGAGAAGACGUAGCAAUACGUUUGUAAAGCGGCGAACGGGUGAGGAAUACAUGGGUAACCUACCCUCGAGUGGGGAAUAACUAGCCGAAAGGUUAGCUAAUACCGCGUACGCUCCUUGGACUUCGGUUCAGGGAGGAAAGCGAUACCGUGGGUAUCGCGCUCUUGGAUGGGCUCAUGUCCUAUCAGCUUGUUGGUGAGGUAACGGCUCACCAAGGCUUCGACGGGUAGCUGGUCUGAGAGGACGAUCAGCCACACUGGGACUGAGACACGGCCCAGACUCCUACGGGAGGCAGCAGUGGGGAAUCUUGCGCAAUGAGCGAAAGCUUGACGCAGCGACGCCGCGUGAGGGAAGAAGGCCUGG